rnacentral:rRNA from 1 species
UACGUAGGGGGCAAGCGUUGUCCGGAUUUAUUGGGCGUAAAGAGCGUGUAGGCGGCUGGGUAGGUCCGUUGUGAAAACUCGAGGCUCAACCUCGAGACGCCGAUGGAAACCCUCCAGCUAGAGUCCGGAAGAGGAGAGUGGAAUUCCCGGUGUAGUAGUGAAAUGCGUAGAACUCGGGAGGAACACCAGUGGUGCAGACGGCCACCUGGGCACUACCUGACACUGAGGCGCGACAGCGUGGGGAGCGAACGGG